GGAGAGGUGGCUCAGUGGUUAGAGCACUGGCUGCUCUUCCAGAGGACCCGGGUUCAAUUCCCAGGACCCCCA
rnacentral:tRNA from 1 species